rnacentral:rRNA from 1 species
GACGAACGCUGGCGGCGUGCUUAACACAUGCAAGUCGAACGGUGAAGCGCCUUCCUUUUUGGUGGGUGUGGAUGAGUGGCGAACUGGUUAGUAACACGUGAGUAACCUUCCCCCUUCUUCUGGAUAACCGCAUGAAAGUGUGGCUAAUACGGGAUAUUCUGAUUCGGUCGCAUGAUUGGUCUGGGAAAGAUAUUGUUUCGGUUGUGGAUGGGCUCGCGGCCUAUCAGCUUGUUGGUGUGGUGAUGGCCUACCAAGGCGGUGAGGGGUAGCCGGCCUGAGAGGGUGGACGGUAACACUGGGAAUGAGAGACGGAGAAGACUACUACGGGAGGCAGAAGUGGGGAAUAUGGAACAGGGGGCGCAAGCAUGAUGCAGCGACGCGGCGUGAGGGAUGGAGGCCUGCGGGUUGUGAACCUCUUUCGCGAGUGAAGCAGGGCUGAAUCGUUUGUGGGUGGGUUGACGGUAGCUGGAUAAGAAGCGCCGGCUAACUACGUG